rnacentral:rRNA from 1 species
UACGUAGGGGGCAAGCGUUAUUCGGAAUUAUUGGGCGUAAAGGGCGCGUAGGCGGCUCUACAAGUCAAAGGUGAAAUCCCUCGGCUCAACUGAGGAACUGCCUUUGAAACUGUAAGACUUGAGGCCGGGAGGGGUAGCGGAAUUCCCAGUGUAGCGGUGAAAUGCGUAGAUAUUGGGAGGAACACCAGUGGCGAAGGCGGCUACCUGGACCGGUUCUGACGCUGAUGCGCGAAAGCGUGGGUAGCAAACAGG